rnacentral:rRNA from 1 species
CAGUCGUACUUACGGGUAAUCAGCCUUUUGGGUGUGAUUUUGUGGAGCGUGAGGAGUUAAACGCCUUCAUGCCUGCAUAUUCGUGCACUUUGGGUGUACUUGCCCGUGUGUAAGUUAACAUCAAUUUUGGUGGUCAUAAAAUGGCUUGAGGAAUGUAGCUUCGAUCUUGUAUUGAAGUAUUAAUAGCCUUCGGUAGAUGUGACGGUUGGGG